CCUACGGGAGACAGCAGUCGAGAAUCAUUCACAAUGGGGGAAACCCUGAUGGUGCGACGCCGCGUGGGGAAUGAAGGUCUUCGGAUUGUAAACCCCUGUCAUGUGGGAGCAAAUUAAAAAGAUAGUACCACAAGAGGAAGAGACGGCUAACUCUGUGCCAGCAGCCGCGGUAAUACAGAGGUCUCAAGCGUUGUUCGGAAUCACUGGGCGUAAAGCGUGCGUAGGCUGUUUCGUAAGUCGUGUGUGCAAGGCGCGGGGUCAACCCGCGGACGGCACAUGAUACUGCGAGACUAGAGUAAUGGAGGGGGAACCGGAAUUCUCGGGGUAGCAGUGAAAUGGGGAGAUAUCGAGAGGAACACUCGUGGCGAAGGCGGGUUCCUGGACAUUAACUGACGCUGAGGCACGAAGGCCAGGGGAGCGAAAGGGAUUAGAUACCCCGGGUAGUC
rnacentral:rRNA from 1 species